rfam:Asian citrus Psyllid, Diaphorina citri - Florida Strain, whole genome shotgun sequence.
AGCUCCCUGGGCGUAGUGGUCACUGCACUCGCCUUGCACGCGGGAGACCCGGGUUCGAUUCCCGGCGGAUCCA